UACGUAGGCAGCAAACGUUGUUCGGAGUUACUGGGCGUAAAGAGUACGUAGGCGGUUUGCCAAGUCUGGUGUGAAAUCUCCUGGCUUAACUGGGAGGGUGCGCCGAAUACUGGCGGGCUUGAGUAUUGGAGAGGAAAGCGGAAUUCCUGGUGUAGCGGUGAAAUGCGUAGAUAUCAGGAGGAACACCGGUGGUGUAGACGGCUUUCUGGACAAUCACUGACGCUGAGGUACGAAAGCGUGGGUAGCAAACAGG
rnacentral:rRNA from 1 species